rnacentral:rRNA from 1 species
CCUACGGGUGGCUGCAGUGGGGAAUAUUGGACAAUGGGGGGAACCCUGAUCCAGCCAUGCCGCGUGUGUGAAGAAGGCCCUCGGGUUGUAAAGCACUUUCAGUGAGGAAGAACGCCUGGUGGUUAAUACCCAUCAGGAAAGACAUCACUCACAGAAGAAGCACCGGCUAACUCCGUGCCAGCAGCCGCGGUAAUACGGAGGGUGCGAGCGUUAAUCGGAAUUACUGGGCGUAAAGCGCGCGUAGGUGGCUUGAUAAGCCGGUUGUGAAAGCCCCGGGCUCAACCUGGGAACGGCAUCCGGAACUGUCCAGCUAGAGUGCAGGAGAGGAAGGUAGAAUUCCCGGUGUAGCGGUGAAAUGCGUAGAGAUCGGGAGGAAUACCAGUGGCGAAGGCGGCCUUCUGGACUGACACUGACACUGAGGUGCGAAAGCGUGGGUAGCAAACAGGAUUAGAUACCCUUGUAGUC